GGAGGGGUGGGUGAGUGGUUAAAACCGGCAGACUGUAAAUCUGUUGCCUAUGGCUACGCAGGUUCGAAUCCUGCUCCCUCCACCA
rnacentral:tRNA from 1 species